UGUUGUUGGACUACAACUCCCAUCAUCCCUGAGCUGUGGCCUUGCUAGCUAGGGAUGAUGGGAGUUGUAGUUCAACAACA